AACAUAAAAAUGAACAAAAAUAAGAAAACAGAGAUAAUUUAUUUUUCUUUUAUUACGACUUGUACUUAUGAGAGCCCUGCAGGGAGGAAGGAAAGAAGGAAAGGGAAUACUUUCUCAAUUACUGUAUUUUAAACUUCAAUCCUAUUAUGUAUGUUUAGAGUAAUAUUUGUUCAAAAUAGUACCCAGCCAGCAAAUAUACACAUAAAUCAGAUUAUAGUCACACAUUCCAUUUAGUUUUAGUCUCUGCAGCAAUUAUCACUAACUUGUACUCUGUGGAUUCUAGACUUAAAAUUUUAUAAUAUCCAGCCACAGAACUUUAGAAUACAAAGUGCUUUUAUUCAAAACUUAGGAAAUGUCACCAAAGAAAAUAUAGGAGUUACGUGAGUGGUUUUUACCAUAUAAAGAAAACAAGAAUAUUUGUGAUUAAUAAAGCAAAAACUGAUUUUCAAUAAAUUAUACUUUGGACUGGACCAUUAAAGCACACAAGCUCUUCCUGACUUACGGUUACAUGGCAUUUUUAAAUGUAAAAAAUAUAAUAUUUCAAACAUACCCUGUACCACACAGAAUACUAUUGGAGAUUCCCUUGUAGUCACCAACUAUACUAAACUCAUGUUAACUUUUUGUCAUAUUUGCUUCAUAUCUUUUUUUUUGCUUUUUAAGAAAAUAAAAUAUUAUAGAGACUGGUGAAUUUGUACCAUUUUCCAUUCCCCUCAAAUUAAACCCACUAUCAGUAAACUAUUGGACAUCCAGAGUCUGUGUGGAUACCCAGAAACAAAAAUGUAUCAUGAGGCCUGACUGGUAUGGCUCAGUUGGUUGGAUGUUAUCCUGCAAAGCAAAAGGUUGCUGGUUAGAUUCCUGGCCAGGGUACAUGUCCGAGAUGCAGUUUCAGUCCUAGGUCGGGGUGCAUAUGAGAGGCAACAGAUAAAUGUUUCUCUCUUGUAUUGAUGUUUCUUUCCCUCUUCUCCCUCCCUUCCCUCUCUGUAAAAAUAAAUAAAUACAAUCUUUUCAAAAAGUGUUUUAAAAAAGACAUGAGAGAAAUCAGGCCAGCCCUAGACUCUUCAGAGAAACAUUCUAUGGUAGAAGACGAGGGGUCAACGCUUACCCAUACUCACAGAAAAUAAGUAAGACAAGAAUGUAUACCAAUUUAUCUGUCAUUUAAGUAUCAGCAUUCAAAACAAAUCCUUUGAAAAAUGCAAGAACACAUCACUGAAAAACCUUCUAAACUCAGAAGACAAAUUUCAACAAAGAAAAGUAGUAAACCUUAUGCAAAGGACUAAUGGAUGAAGGUGAGGUUAGUCCACACACACCAAUUUUGUCACUUUUACUGACUAAUAGUCUAAGGUGAUAAAUCAUGUAUAUUUUGGUAUAUAAAGGUCAAUACUAACAAAAAUAAUCAACUGAAGUUUUGAAUGUGGAGAUGGAAGACAAAGCCAAAGUAAAAAUGUACUAAUAUUCUCCCUGUUUACUGUAGCCACAAGAUAUUAUCUUACGAAUUAAGUAUACUAUUUAAACUUGUGAAAGUACCCCUAGAAAACAUAAACUUUUCAAAUUAUCUAAAGAAACUCAUAAAGACACAUUAUGUAAUAAAACAAAGACAAGAAACAAAAACAGGUAGUAUAUUAAAUAAUAUAGAGGACCAAAACUUGGUAAUUGUCUUCUUCAUAAACACAAAUUGGUUAAAUUCAACAAUUAAAGAGACAGACUGAAUCACAAAGGAAAAAAAAAGCACUAUCUAGGAGAGACACACUUAUAGUGACAGAAGACUGAAAAGAAUGGGCAAAGACAUAGCACAAAAAUACAAUCUAAAUGAAGCUGUGAUCAACACUGCAACAGGGCAGAAAUCAUUUUUUGAAAAGGCAAAAAGAACACAGGCAGUUAAUAAAACAAAAACUAUAAGAAAUAAAGAGAAUACUGACAGGAAUACAGAAUUAUGAGACUUGAAUUCCCUUCUCUCACUCCACAAAACCAUCAAGCAAGCAAAAUUAAGGACAAAGAAGAUCUUCAAUUAAUUAAGUUUACUGAUGAAAUAAAUCUAGGUGAAUUUAUUCUGAAACACAAAAACUACCUUCAAUAGGUCCAAAUAACAGUCAUUAAGACUGAGCAUAAAAUCAGCCAUAAAGACAACCUUAACAGACUUCAAAAGGGAUAUACAUUUGCUAGUCACCAUGAAAUUAAAUGACAUUAAUAACAAGAUGAGAAAAUUCUCAUAAACCACUGAAUCAAAAGAUUUUCUAAAAAUUGCAAAAAAAUUAUUAAAAAGCUAAAGCAGUGCUAGUUAAAAAGAAAUAGUUAUAGAAUAAUAUUAAUCCAAGAGAGCUCCUUCUUAAGGAAAACUAAGAGAUGUCAUUAGCCGAUCUAAUCAACAAUGAAGAAGCACAAAAACAUACAAAAUAAGAAAUGUCAACAGAGAUAGAACCUUAUGUGAAAAGAAAAUUAAAAUAGCCAUAAGCAACUACUAUGUUCGUUUCCAUACAGAAAUGUAUGAAAAACACUACAAUUUUCUAGGCAAAUAUAAAUGACCAAAACUUAACCACAGAAAAAAUACAAUUGUUAAAAAGGACAAUUUUCAAAGAAAGAAGAUGUUGAAAAAGAACUUCCCCCAAAACACAACAUAGGGAUAAAUUCAUAUGGUAAUUCUAACAAACUUUUAAUGACCAGAUUAACUCCAAUGUGAUUUAAACUCUUCCAACACAGAGUUAAAAAGGAAAAGCAAGGGAUCCAGCAUAAUAAUGGUAACAACCCCCCGAAAGAGACAUAGAAAAAGAAUGUCCCAUAGGAAUACUGGUAAAAAUACUAAAUAAAAUAGUCAAAUAUACAGUCUAAUGUUAAAUAGUAACCUACAUUAAUAAGUGUUAAUAAAUCUAAAUAUCAAAAUAAUAUACCAUAACCAAGUGUUUAGUUCCAGGAUUUCUAGGAAUACUUAAUAUUAAGAAACCCAGAAAUAUAAUUUAUUCAAUUCAUAAAUCAAAAGUGAGAAAUCAUUAAGAAGUCUGUACAUGUUGAGAAGGUAUUUAGUAAAAUUCAUUAUCCAGCCCCUAACAAAAUAGAAAUGAGUAAAUACUUCCCUAACCCAGUCAGAAAGAUGUCUUCAACACUCUGUCAAAGAUAACCAACAUGGCCAAAACAGAGAAAGAAAUGGAGUAUAAAAGUUGGUUAGGAGUUAAAAUGAUUAUUAUUUGCAGAUCAAAUAUCAAGAAAACUAGUUGAUGUACAAUCAUAAAUAAUCACAUAAUUUAAUUACUUGUAAUAGGUACAAAUUAAUAUACUAAAAUUAACAGCCUUCAUCUAUACAAACCAAAAAAACUAGUUAGGAGGUUUAAAAUAAGGCAAGAUCACAAUCAAUUAGAAGAAUUGUAAGAAAAAUAAAAUACCUAGUAAAAAACAGAAGAAAUUACAAGAUCUGUGUGAAAAGUCUGAAAUUCUACUGAUACUAAAGAAGAUGAACAAAUGGAAAGACAUACUUGAUAUAUGGAUGAAAGAUAACAAAAUCCAAAUUGCCUUUAAGAUAAUUUAAUUACCACCAUAAAAUAGGAAAGUGCAUUCUAAAUUUCUGUAGAAAAUUCGGUAAGAACUUUCUUUAAGAGUUAAUUCUUUAAGGAAAAUUCUUUAAGAGUUAAAUCACAUUUGAAAACAUUUAUAGUGCCAAAGUAAUUAAAAUACCAUGGAACUAGUGCAUGGAGAGCAGACUAAUGGAACAAAACAUCAAGUUCAGAAAGAGACUCAAAUACACAUUUAGAUUAUAGUGAAGACAGCAUUUUAAACUAGCGGGUGAAAGAUUGAUUAAUCAACUCAUCCUACUGGGACCUUGGGCUUGCUAACUUAAAAAAAAAA